GUUUUUAGGGCAUCCCACAUAUGGCAUAUGGAGGUUCCCAGACUCUAUCAAAAUCUAAAUGAUGUUUUUUGUAGGAAUUUAAAAAUAUAUCAUAAAAUUAAUAAAGAAUCUCAUGGGACCCUGAACAACUAAAAGAAACUUGAACAAUAACAGAACUGAGUACACACAUUUCUCACAUCAAAUUUAUUUCAAAGAUACAAUCAUCAAAACAGUGUGCUAUUAGCAUAUAGACAGGCAUAUAAAUUAAUGGAAUGUAACAGACAACCCAGAAAUAUACCCUCACCUAUUUGGUCAAGUGAUUUUCAACAAGGGUGCAAGACCAUUCAAUAAGAAAAGGACAGUAUUUUUAAUAAAUGGUACUGAUAAAACUGAUAUACACAUGAAAAAGAAUGAAGUUGGAUAUUUAUCUUACACCAUAUACAAAAAUUAACUCAAAAGAAAUCAAAGUCCUAAAUAUAAGAGCUAAAACUAUAAAACUCUUGGAAGAAAACUUAGGAGUGAUGUUUCAUGGUAUUGGAUUUGGCAACUAUUUCUUAGAUAUGAUAACAAAGCACAGGAAACAAAAUAAAAAAUAAAUUGGAUUUCAAUAUUAACAACUCUUGUGCCUCAAAGGACACUAUCAACAAGGUAAGAAGGCAAUACACAAAACAGAAGCAAAUAUUUGCAAGUCUGAUAAAGGAUUUAUAACCAGAAUAUACAAGGAAUUCUUAUAACUCAAUAACAAAAUGAACAACCUGAUUAAAAACUGGACAAAGGACUUGAAUAGUCAUUGCUCCAAAGAUGUACAAAUAGCCAAUAAACACAUGAAAAGAUGCUGAACAUCAUUGAUCAUCAGGAAAAUGCAAAUCCAAGCCACAAUGAGAACAACCUCAUACCUAUUAGGAUGGCUAUUAUUUGAAAAAGCAAACAAAUAAAAUUGACAUUUUCCCAAAGAAGACAUACAGAUAACUAACAGGCACAUGAAAAGAUGCUCAACAUCACUAAUCAUUAGAGAAAUGCAACUCAAAACCACAAUGAGAUAUCACCUCACACCUGUCAGAAUGGCCAUCAUAAAAAGGCCUACCAAUAACAAAUGUUGGCCAAGAUGUGGAGAAAAGGGAACCCUUGUACAUUGUUGAUGGGAAUGUAAAUUGGUGCAGCCACUAUGGAAAACAGUACUCAGGUUCCUCAAAAGACUAAAGAAAAACUACCACAUUAUCCAGAAAUUCUACUCCUGCAUAUAUAUCUGAAGAAAAUGAAAACACUAUCUGAAAAGAUACAUGCACCUCAAUGUUCAUAGCAACAUUAUUUAUAAUAGCCAAUAUAUGGAAGCAACCUAGGUGUCCACUGACAGAUGAAUGUAUAAAGAAGAUGUUGUGUGUGUGUGUACACACACACACACACACACACA
rnacentral:lncRNA from 1 species